rnacentral:rRNA from 1 species
AAUGAAUGCUAUAAUUCGACUUUACACAUGCGAGUCGCACGAGAUGUAUAAUAUUGAAGUGGCGAACGGGUGAAUAAUGUAGUUGAAUGUUAUCUAAUAAUACGGGACAUGCAUAUUGAUAUGAGGAAUACCGAAUAAAAAGUUUAUAGGUUUACUAUAAAUACAUAAAGAUUAAUCGUUAUUAGAAACGCAACUAUCGGAUUAAGUUGAAAUGAUGGUGAGGUAAUGGCUCACCAAAUUUAUGAUCUGUAGCUGGUUUGGGAGAACGUACAGCCACAUCGGAACUGAGAUAAGGUACGAUCCCCAGCGUUGGGGGCAGCAGUGAGGAAUCUUGGGCAAUGGGCGGAAGCUUGACCCAGAAAGAAUUUGUGCGUGAUGAAGGCAUAUAUGUUUGUAAAGCGCAACAAGUUUUAUAGAAUAAUGAUUACUAAGAAAUAAAGCACUGACUAAGUUCGUGCCAGCCGCCGCGGUAAAAC